GAUGAAGAACGCAGCGAAAUGCGAUAAGUAAUGUGAAUUGCAGAAUUCAGUGAAUCAUCGAAUCUUUGAACGCACAUUGCGCCCCUUGGUAUUCCGAGGGGCAUGCCUGUUCGAGCGUCAUUAUAACCCUCAAGCUCAGCUUGGUGUUGGGGCCUGCUGCACUGGCAGCCCUUAAAAUCAAUGGCGGCGCCAUCUGGCUCUAAGCGUAGUAAUUCUUCUCGCUAUGGAGUCCUGGUGGAUGCUUGCCAUCAACCCCCAAUUUUUCUAUGGUUGACCUCGGAUCAGGUAGGGAUACCCGCUGAACUUAAGCAUAUCAAUAAGCGGAGGA
rnacentral:misc_RNA from 1 species